GGCCCCGUGGCUCAACUGGAUAGAGCGGCCCCCUCCUAAGGGGCAGGUUGCAGGUUCGAAUCCUGCCGGGGUCGCCA
rnacentral:tRNA from 2 species